rnacentral:rRNA from 1 species
CCUACGGGAGGCAGCAGUGGGGGAUAUUGCACAAUGGGGGGAACCCUGAUGCAGCGACGCCGCGUGGGUGAAGAAGCGCCUCGGCGCGUAAAGCCCUGUCAGCAGGGAAGAAAAUGACGGUACCUGAAGAAGAAGCCCCGGCUAACUACGUGCCAGCAGCCGCGGUAAUACGGAGGGGGGAAGCGGUAUCCGGAUUUACUGGGGGGAAAGGGGGCGCAGACGGGGAUGCAAGCCAGGAGGGAAAGCCCGGGGGCCAACCCCGGGACUGCCCUUGGAACUGCGUGGCUGGAGUGCAGGAGGGGCAGGCGGAAGGCCUGGUGUAGCGGUGAAAUGCGUAGAUAUCAGGAGGAACACCGGUGGCGAAGGCGGCCUGCUGGACUGCAACUGACGUUGAGGCCCGAAAGCGUGGGGAGCAAACAGGAUUAGAUACCCGAGUAGUC